AACCCAUGGUGAGGGCACCGUCUCAGUAAGUCCUUAUAUCUCUUCCAUGCAUCGUAGAGGGUUUCUAAAUCCAUCUGCACAAAAGAAGAGAUAUCAUUACGUAAUUU
rnacentral:snoRNA from 1 species